GCUUUGGGUAAAAUCAGACAUGUGAUGAUUUUGUUUUGUUUUUCUCUUCGAAAGUAUCCAAAAUACGGUGUUGUUGAAGAACACGAUUUUGGAUGAAAAUUUUAUUCUGCGCCAUGUUGAUUUCAGGUUGGAUAUUCGGUGGUCGUUCUUUCUGCAAAUUUCGAAAGCGUUCGUUACCAAAAACGAGACCAAAAAUGAGCCAAACGAAAAGUACGCUCCAUUUCCUGGAUUUCCUGGUACAUUUCUGGACUUCGAACAUCUUCAAAAAAAAAAUGAAAUGGUCACCUAAUUCUUUCACUUGUUAAUCACAGAACAUUCGUUUGAUUCCCCGUUCGCUUCCGGCGCGUUUUUCGACGAUGAAAGAUCAUCACCAAACGUGAACGCUGCCGUAACCCGGAUCCGGAUGGCGUUUGCAUCAGGCGAUAAAGUUUAUAAAUAAGGUG